GGGGCAGACUCCUCCCUCAGGGUGGGGGCGGGAGGCGGUGUGAGGGCCCCCCAGCUGCUAAAGGACCUCCAGGACCUCUCAGCCCGCCUGCGAGCCCUGGGCGCCUCCGCUGCUGUGAGACAGGGAGAUCCUGCAGGCGGCGCCAACCAGCAGCUGGUGGAGGGUGCGUGUGAUGCGCUGUACGGGGCGUCCCUGUCGCUGUCCAGCGUCAACACCCUGCUGAGGUCACCGCCGGUGAUGACACGUACAGAGGGGGCGGAGCUACAGCUGGGACAGCUACAGAACCUGUCAGCUGAGCUGGGCUCUCUGAGCAGGGAGCUGACCUCUCUGGGGUCCAAGCUCACGGGGGUCCUGGGCUCAGCGUCCGGGCAGCGGUGCCUGGACCUCCUGAUCAGGGUCCUGCCCGCGGUCCAGACCGGACUGAGAGACCGACGGAACCAUCUAGAACUCCUCCAGCAGAAGAGCUCACAGCUUCAGGUUCACCGCACCACUACAAUCUCUCGCUCUCUUGCUUUAUUUGUCUCUCUCUUUUUUUUCUUUCUUUCUUUCUUUCUUUCUUUCUUUCUUUCUUUCUUUCUUUCUUUCUUUCUUUCUUUCUUUCUUUCUUUCUUUCUUUCUUUCUUUCUUUCUUUAAAUAAUCAAUUGUAUCAAUCCUAUUAAUCUUAUUAAUUAAAAUGAUGUGAUCAUACUUUUUAUUCUGUUUAACUUUUAACAAUUUAUACCCUUUUAAUUUUGAAUUGAAUGAGUUGUUUUCAUGAAAGAAUUAACUGACCCUCUUCAACCUAUCAGAGGAGACUGAAAGAGUUGCAGGCAGAACUUGAUUCUAACUGGUCUGCCGUGCACCAAUUAACCACCGAUCCUAUCGAGGGACAGGAGCUAACCCGACGCCUCCAGGUACUGUUAACACACUCACCAUCUCUGUGUUCCCACACUGCUGCAAUUAACCAUCAAUUAACAAUAAUGGUGCUAAUAAAGAGGUUUCAAUGUUCAAGCAUCUGUGUGUGUGUGUGUGUGUGUGUAUGUGUGUGUGUGUGUGUGUGUGUGUGUGUGUGUGUGUGUGUGUGUGUGUGUGUGUGUGUGUGCGUGUGUGUGUGUGUGUGUGUGUGCGUGUGUGUGUGUGUCUACAGGAUCAAGCCUGUGAGGUUGACGUUCUCCUGGAGGAAGUGAAGUCAUCGUCGCUUCCUGUCUGCCUGUCCCAGCAGGCCACUGCGCUCCAGGGUGCGCUUGAUGUGGCCCAGGCAGGGGUGAGCUCCAGAAGGGAGGAGCUACAGGUGGGAGCCGAUCUCCAGCGGCACUACGAGAGACUGGUGCUGGGUCUGGAGGAGCUGGUGACACUGGGGUCCCAACGCCUCUCUCUGCUGCCAGGCGCGGAGCUCCACACCAGGGACAGGCUGGAGGGCCUGCUGAGCUCCCAUACGAAGUUCUUCCAAUCCCUGGACGGACACGUGGGAAGCCUGCAGUACCUGUCUGGGCGGGUCCAGGACGGCGCCCCCGGCAGGCGGGCUGAGGAAGUGCAGGCGCUGCAGGAUAAAGUCUCUCAGCUGAGGCUACAAGCCCUGGAGCACGGCUGCAAGAUGGAGGACACCUUACAGGUAACUGCCACUGAAACUACGGCUGUAGUUCAUGGCUGUAGCACAUUUUGUGCAUACAACGUCUUUAAAGAGGUGCUAGUGUUUUGCGGUCUGUUAAACUGUGUCGCUGUGAUUGGUCAAUGCUUUUGUCCUCAGAUAUGGGCCCUGUGGGAGCAGGACAGCUCCUGGCUGGACGGCCUCUUAUCAGACACAGAGACUUCAGCUCCCAAGAUGCACCUGGCUCAGGACUCUGAGGAAGAGCUGUCUAACAGAAUACAUUUGUACCAGAAACUGAGUGGAGCGCUGGAGGACAGCAGGCCGAGGCUGGGGCAGCUGUCGGAGGCGGGGCUUUGGCUGCAGGGGGCGGGCUGUAGGGAGGUGGGCGUGGCCACCAAGAAGCAAGAGGCUCGCUGGAACCGCCUUCAUAAGAGGCUGGACCACGACAGGAAGCUCACCGAACGCAACAGGAAGCUACUCAACAGGUUCACCCUCCAAUCGGCUUCGCUGAUUGAAUGGAUGGGCGGGGCCAGGGAGCUGAUUGACAGGUGGAGACACUCCGUUGACCCUACCAAUCAGGAUCAGCCAAGUCUUCGGCAGAGCUGGGAUGACAUCAUGCUUCAGUUCAUGGUACGAAACAUUGAUGAUGACAAAGAAGCUAAAACUUAUGUAGAUUAUGAUGACCUUACCAGGAGGCCUAUGACAGCAAGCUUAUGCUAA
ensembl:lncRNA